CGCCGCCCGCCUCCCCGCACCCCGUGGUAAUCGCGAUCUGCCACCGCCUCCCCGCCUCCAGUGGUAAUCGCGAUCUGCCACCGCCUCCCCGCCUCCCGUGGUAAUCGCGAUCUGCCACCGCCUCCCGUCCUAAUGGCUGGGGAGAAAGCUGGUAUCGGCGCCUCCUCCUCCUCUCGUCCUCGGAGGAGUUCGAGAAACGCCGCCGACGGGAAGCAGAUUGCUCCCCGAGUCGCCGCCGACGGGAAGAAGACUGCUCUCCGAGUCGCCGGCGACGGGAAGCAGAGUCCUCUCCGAGUCGCCGCCGCCUCCGACGGGAAGCGGAUGGUUAUGGGCGUCUCUGUCGACGCCGCUUCCACCACUUUGCACCCUAUUGAUCUACGAUCCGACGUCGCCCCUGCUGAGGGGCGUACUGAAGUGGCCAAGUUUGUUCACAACUUCUACUGUGCCCUAAACUUUAAUCUGUUAGGAUUGUAUCGUUUCUAUGCCGACGAUGCUGAGUUUGUCUGGAAUUUCAAUGGCCGUCGACUUAAUCUGAAAACUGCAAAGGAAAUUAAGAGUUAUCUGUAUAGGGCAUCAACCAAAAUGAAAUUCCAUGCAUCACAUUUUGAUUUAUUAUCGAUUCCUGGGCAAAGUUCUGUAAUGCUGACCGUUUAUGGAACAAUCAAAUCGGCUGAUAACAAGCCUAGGAGCUUUGUGGAAACUUUUGUGCUUGAUAUUCCUGGACGUCUUAUAUUGAGGGAUUCCUUGGUUGUGCAAGAAAAUGCUCUAGAAGUACCAGAAGUGAGUAGUCCCAAGAAGCUCCAAGACCAUACUGCAAGUAUCAUGUCUACUAAUGAUUCACAGAAUCACUGUGGAAUUUGCAAUAAGAAAUGGUAUCCCCUAGAGAAAGACUGGGUCUGUUGUGACCGUUGUCAAAUGUGGCUCCAUGUUGAGUGUGACCCUAAUUGCAGUCGUGACAUGGAGUAGGUAGAAAAGUCAGAGUAUUUCUGCCCUGGCUGUACGUCUGAAUGCAAAGAUGUAUUGACACUUAGCACUUUGAAGCAAAAAUCACCUGAACCCAUAAUUGUGUCGUGUGCUGGAAAGGAAGGAGUCUAAAC